GACGGGGGGUCCUAGCGUUGUUCGGAAUCAUUGGGCGUAAAGCGUGUGCAGGUGGUUUGGAAAGUUAGAUGUGAAAUCCUUGGGCUUAACCCAAGAAGUGCAUUUAAAACUCCCAAACUUGAGUAAGGAAGAGGGUCGUGGAAUUCCAGGUGUAGUGGUGAAAUACGUAGGUAUCUGGAGGAACACCGGCGGCGAAGGCGGCGACCUGGUCCUAUACUGACACUCAUACACGAAAGCGUGGGGAUCAAACAGG
rnacentral:rRNA from 1 species